UUACAUGGCUAUACUGCUUCAUAAAAGCUUGUGCUAAGUCCUUUCAUGAAUUGAUUUUAGCACGGCUCAAUUGAUUGUACCAUUUAGCUGCUGACCCGAUCAGACUGUCUUAGAAGGAGUGGAUUAACAUUCGGUCGUUAUUAACAUAUCCUGUCAUCCUUUGACGAAACAUUAUGAUGUGAGCUUCAGGACAACUAGUCCAUUGUACUUUUCAAACUCUGGAGUUUUAAAUUUUGGCGAGAGUACUAGAUCAGGGAC
rnacentral:lncRNA from 1 species